rnacentral:rRNA from 1 species
CCUACGGGAGGCAGCAGUGAGGAAUAUUGGUCAAUGGACGAGAGUCUGAACCAGCCAAGUAGCGUGAAGGAUGACUGCCCUAUGGGUUGUAAACUUCUUUUAUAUGGGAAUAAAAUGUUCCACGUGUGGGAUUUUGUAUGUACCAUAUGAAUAAGGAUCGGCUAACUCCGUGCCAGCAGCCGCGGUAAUACGGAGGAUCCGAGCGUUAUCCGGAUUUAUUGGGUUUAAAGGGAGCGUAGGUGGAUUGUUAAGUCAGUUGUGAAAGUUUGCGGCUCAACCGUAAAAUGGCAGUUGAAACUGGCAGACUUGAGUACAGGAGAGGUGGGCGGAAUUCGUGGUGUAGCGGUGAAAUGCUUAGAUAUCGCGCAGAACUCCGAUUGCGAAGGCAGGAUACCGGCGCUCAACUGACGCUGAGGCACGAAGGCGUGGGGAUCGAACAGGAUUAGAUACCCGAGUAGUC